UUAGAGAUGAACAUAUCUACUUUGGCUACUUUCUCAGAUGGAGGUUCCUAAGAGGAGCUCAUGAAUUGGAGGAAAAAGCUACAGGAGUAGAGAUAUCUCCAGUGUGAGGAACCAGCUGGAGGGAGAGAUUAAGUUGCUGUGCCUGGUUAGAGGUUGUCCUUGAGAUUCCAACUCUUCCUAAUUGGCCCCGGGGGAGAGAGGCGAGCUUGGCUCCUAUCAGAGGAAGACAGAGUUGUUGAGUGUCCAAAUGAAACCAGCAAACCAGCGAUGGUGUCUGAGGAUUCAGACAACUGGUCUGAGGUGAGUGCUAUCAUGGGGAAACAAGUCCAUCCCAAAGCUAGUGGCGGCUGACUAAUGGGACUAGGGUGGUAGGAGAGACAGGUCAUUUCUGGGAUUCCCAAUAAACUGAGAAAGCAAGAAGAAUAGCCCA
rnacentral:lncRNA from 1 species